GCUGGGCGCGGUGGCGCAUGCCUGUAGUCCCAUCCACUUGGGAGGCCGAGACAGGAGAAUUGCUUGAACCCGGGAGGCGGAGCUUGCAGUGAGCCGAGAUCCGGCCACUGCACUCCAGCCUGGGUGACAGAGCGAGACUCCGUCUCAA
rnacentral:sRNA from 1 species